rnacentral:tRNA from 2 species
GCGAGAGUGGCGGAAUCGGCAGACGCACGGGUUUUAGGUGCCCGCGAGCGCAAGCUCUUCAGGGUUCAAGUCCCUGCUCUCGCACCA